rnacentral:rRNA from 1 species
CAGUAGCCACGGGAACACGAAGGGGGCUAGCGUUGCUCGGAAUGACUGGGCGUAAAGGGCGCGUAGGCGGAUCACGCAGUCAGAUGUGAAAUUCCUGGGCUUAACCUGGGGGCUGCAUUUGAGACGCGUGGUCUAGAGUGUGAAAGAGGGUCGUGGAAUUCCCAGUGUAGAGGUGAAAUUCGUAGAUAUUGGGAAGAACACCGGUGGCGAAGGCGGCGACCUGGUUCAUGACUGACGCUGAGGCGCGAAAGCGUGGGGAGCAAACAGGAUUAGAUACCCGAGUAGUCCCUGUCUCUUAUAC